rnacentral:lncRNA from 1 species
UCUUUAAAGGCAGAAAACUUGUCUGGUUGGAAUCGGAUGGAAAAGUGACCAGCGAAGACAUGAAGAGAUGCCUGGAAGACGGAAUUGGAAGAGAAAAUUCUCACCUAAGUGACAAUGAAUUUUGCCAGCAGCUUCCAGAGAGGAUAUUAAGAAUGCGAUAUUGUCAUCACCAGCUCUGCUCUUCCCCACAAGGUCUUCCAAGGAGCAGCCUCUAUGAUGGAAUCAUGGGCCAAAGGAUUGAAUGGACUAGGCACUGCGUGGGAGAAAGGUCACAGAGCAGUAGCAGGGGAAUGGUGAAGUCCUGAGAGGGGCAUGGAAGGAAGAGUUGCUAUGGAGAGCUCCAAGCUGUAGUGAGGUGUCAGUCACUAUGAAAUGAUGUUCCUCUGGAACAGCCCCACUUCCAGGAGGAAGGAACAGGUACUAAUAUGUCUACCGGCUCAUCAACUAGGAGCAGAGCAGAGGAAGCGUAGUAGCCCUUGGAACAAGGUCCCUGGUGGAUCCAGUGGGGUGUCGUUUCUGGGGUCUCUUGAAGGACAUCUGAGUUUCAUACUCCCAUGGCUCCAAGGCAGUUAACCCCUCUCUGUCUCAUCUAACAAAUAGCUGGAACAUGGAAAAUGCAGAGCAAAGUCCAUUUUAG